GCCUAUCCUGCUUGAAUUUCAUUGAUGCUCCAGAAAAAUGUCAUUCUUCCAAAUGGAAUCUCUCUCAUACCAAGUGGUCUCAGAGGACUGGAUGGUAUCUGAAUUUAAAGCAUGCCUAAUUUCACAUUCCAAUUGCCAGACAGAUUCCUCGUCGGGGAAGACAUCUUGUGUUCCAGCCCAUAACUUUUUGACACCACAAAGAUCCUAGUGCCAAUCAUCGAAGAGAGACUUAAAG